GUUAUAGAUAUCUUUGUUUACUGACAAGCAGAUGAAGACUAUCCCUAAGCACUCUGUGGAAAUUCAUUUGGAGAGACUCUGCUCUUGUUCAGGAAGAACAACAGUGUGUGUAAAGUUUGAUGGACAGUGGUGUGGCAGAGUAAACUUGAACAUCCCAGGGACCUUAUGCCAAACAGCCUUGUACCACAUACCUCAGUUCGCCUUGCUAUGCUAAGCUGGACCCUGCUCCUAAUGUUAUGAAGGCAUCUGCAUUCAUAGAGUCUCCAUUGCUUGGUUUAUAUGCUAUCAUUUGGAGGGCCUACACUCUACUAUCUGUCAUCCAAGGAUGAGGUGUGGACAAUCCGUUUUCCCAGUAAGAAGUUAAAGAAAACCUGAAGUAAGGAGAAUAAUUGGAUGCCUCUAUUAGUUGCUAUUCUGUGCCCCUUCUCUCCCUGCAGUAUGACACAGAGCAUAUAGAGGCUCCUAAGAGCUGAGAAACGGAGGUAUUUGUUAUGUCAUCGUCCUCUUCACUGAAGAGCUCUGGCACUUCACAAGAGACAGGCAACUAUCUCAGAGGAUUAGGGUGAGUCACAAGAGGAUCCUCUGAUUGUCUGACAGCUCUGUGAGUUUCCUGGCACUUGUACUCUUGGAAUUUAGUCUGUGUCAAUUAUAUCUGGAAAUGGAACACAUCAUCCAGCUACUCCAAAACGCUUUCUGGUUUUAUCUUGUCCUUCAGGAACAUGAGAGUUCAAGUUGUGAAUGGAAAAUCUCUAUGCCGCAAAUUGCUGAAUGUGUAAACAAAUGCCCCCUCCCCUUCAUAUGUUUCCUUUCCUGGGCUGUGCGGUUAUUUCUCCUCUUUCACUCCUUUCUAAUUCCUCUUUGUAGGAGGAAUUUGUCAUGACAUUGUGGAACUGGGACCACAAGAUUAUAAUGACAACGUGCGAAAUAGAAACCUCUGUCUAUCACUUUGCAAUCAGCACUCUGCAACACUUUCCUGGCUUCUCUCCAGUCUCCGAGUUAUGUUUUUAUCAGAUGGUUUGCUUUUAUUUUUUUUUCAUCAACUCAGUCCUCCUGUGCUUUUUGAAAGCUGAGCUGCCUCUCUCUUGACUCUGCCUCAAACACAAAUGCUUAAGGUCUCAGAAGUGUGAAAUUAAAGCAUGCAUUGAAAUGAGACUCAGAAGUCAGGCUUGUGUUCUUGCCCUGUGUCUGCAGAGUGGGUUUUGUCCCACUUUCAUAGGAUAAAGGAGCCUUCACGUUCACUGUUUGUGACGUGAAUAACUGUAGGGGAACAGAGCAAAGCAGCAAUGCUUGGGUAACGAGGAAUCCUCCUAUUCCUCAGCAUCAUCCUGUGACAGAGGGUGAGCCUGCAGUGCUGUUCUGUGGCUGAACUGGUUUGUGACGUACUUAACCUAACAUAUGAACUGUCACAACAUAGGAAGAAGAGGCCAUCUAAAAGUUACAUGAAACUCAAAAAAUAGGUAAAAUGAAAGGACAAAACAGAAGUUUCUCAAGAGAAGUUUCCAGCCACUCCAGCUAAAGACAUUUCUUCUUUGCUAGUGCCAAAAUAUGCCAUACUUUACAUCCUCCUUUUUGAAAACCUUGGGGUGUGUGAUUAAACUUAUGUUUUUAGGAUAAUUUUGGUAUUAAAGUGCCUCCUCUAAUGCCUGUGGCACUUUUUUUCAAGGAGAGGAAGCAGAAAGGAAAAAUGAGGAUAAAAUCAAUUAAGCGGGGGGAAAAUAAUCUCUUUCUUUAGAAAGCCAUUUUUAAAAUUCUCACAUAAAUUAUUUUUGAUUGGCUAGCUUAAAAUAGCAGGAUGGUAUUGGAACCAAGGAUGGUAUUUCUGGUUCCUACUAACCUGUUGGCUCAAUGCAGGCAAAUGCAGCAUGUUGCUUACUCUACUUACAUGCACACUGCUUCCACUGUCAGCAAUGUUCACUGCUCUUGUU